ensembl:misc_RNA Metazoa_SRP Metazoan signal recognition particle RNA
GCUGGGUAUGGUGGUGCACACCUGUAGUCCUAGCUACUCUGGAGGCUGAGGUAGGAGGAUCACUUGUGCCCAGGAGUUCAAGGUUGCAGUGAGCUGUGAUGGUGUCACUGCACUCCAGCCUGGGCAACAGAAUGAGAUGCUGUCUCUC